rnacentral:rRNA from 1 species
GAUGAACGCUGGCGGCGUGCCUAAUACAUGCAAGUCGAGCGAACAGAUGAGGAGCUUGCUCCUCUGACGUUAGCGGCGGACGGGUGAGUAACACGUGGAUAACCUACCUAUAAGACUGGGAUAACUUCGGGAAACCGGAGCUAAUACCGGAUAAUAUAUUGAACCGCAUGGUUCAAUAGUGAAAGACGGUUUUGCUGUCACUUAUAGAUGGAUCCGCGCCGCAUUAGCUAGUUGGUAAGGUAACGGCUUACCAAGGCAACGAUGCGUAGCCGACCUGAGAGGUGGCGCGGCACCACGGAACCUGAGACGCGACCCAGACCCCGAGGGGAGGCAGCAGGGGGGAUUCUCCCGAAAGGGGGAAAGGCCGGAGGGGGAAACGCGGCGGGGGUGAAGAGUGUUUUGGAAUCGAAAACCUUUUUUAUUGGGAAAAAACAAAGGGGAAAGUAAUUAUGCCCGUCUGGAGGGAACAAAAAAAAAAAGCCACGGCAAACUACGC